AUUGAACGCUGGCGGCAGGCCUAACACAUGCAAGUCGAGCGUGAAAGCCUUCGGGUGAGUAAAGCGGCGGACGGGUGAGUAACGCGUGGGAAUCUGCCCGGUAGCGGGGGACAACAGUCGGAAACGACUGCUAAUACCGCAUACGCCCUGAGGGGGAAAGCAGGGGAUCUUCGGACCUUGCACUAUCGGAUGAGCCCGCGUCAGAUUAGCUGGUUGGUAGGGUAAUGGCCUACCAAGGCAACGAUCUGUAACUGGUCUGAGAGGAUGAUCAGUCACACUGGAACUGAGACACGGUCCAGACUCCUACGGGAGGCAGCAGUGGGGAAUAUUGCACAAUGGGGGAAACCCUGGUGCAGCCAUGCCGCGUGUGUGAAGAAGGCCUCGGGUUGUAAAGCACUUUAAGCAGUGAGGAAGGGUUGAACGCUAAUAUCGUUCAACAUUGACGUUAGCUGCAGAAUAAGCACCGGCUAACUCCGUGCCAGCAGCCGCGGUAAUACGGAGGGUGCAAGCGUUAAUCGGAAUUACUGGGCGUAAAGCGCGCGUAGGCGGUAAUCCAAGCUGGGUGUGAAAAGGCCCCGGGCUCAACCUGGGGAAUUGCAUUCAGAACUGGAUUGCUAGAGUACAGAAGAGGGGUGUGGAAUUUCCGGUGUAGCGGUGAAAUGCGUAGAGAUCGGAAGGAACUCAGUGGCGAAGGCGACACCCUGGUCUGAUACUGACGCUGAGGUGCGAAA
rnacentral:rRNA from 1 species